AAUGAACGCUGGCGGCGUGCUUAACACAUGCAAGUCGUGCGCGAAGAGGGCUUCGGCCCUUGGAGAGCGGCGAACGGGUGAGUAACACGUGGACAACCUACCCUUGGUGCGUGGGAUAACCUGGGGAAACUCGGGCUAAUACCGCAUACGACCGUGGUGCUUCGGUGCUGCGGGGAAAGACGGCCUCUGCUUGCAAGCUGUCACACUAGGAUGGGUCCGCGCCUGAUUAGCUAGUUGGCGGGGUAACGGCCCACCAAGGCGACGAUCAGUAGCCGGCCUGAGAGGGCGAUCGGCCACACUGGAACUGAGACACGGUCCAGACCCCUACGGGAGGCAGCAGUGGGGAAUAUUGGACAAUGGGCGCAAGCCUGAUCCAGCAACGCCGCGUGGAGGACGAAGGUCUUCGGAUUGUAAACUCCUGUCAGAGGGGGCGAAGGUCCGUUGGGUGAACAAUCCAGCGGGUUUGACGGUACCCUCAGAGGAAGCUCCGGCUAACUCUGUGCCAGCAGCCGCGGUAAAAC
rnacentral:rRNA from 1 species